rnacentral:rRNA from 1 species
GGAAUAUUGGACAAUGGGCGAAAGCCUGAUCCAGCCAUGCCGCGUGUGUGAAGAAGGUCUUCGGAUUGUAAAGCACUUUAAGUUGGGAGGAAGGGCAUUAACCUAAUACGUUAGUGUUUUGACGUUACCGACAGAAUAAGCACCGGCUAACUCUGUGCCAGCAGCCGCGGUAAUACAGAGGGUGCAAGCGUUAAUCGGAAUUACUGGGCGUAAAGCGCGCGUAGGUGGUUUGUUAAGUUGAAUGUGAAAUCCCCGGGCUCAACCUGGGAACUGCAUCCAAAACUGGCAAGCUAGAGUAUGGUAGAGGGUAGUGGAAUUUCCUGUGUAGCGGUGAAAUGCGUAGAUAUAGGAAGGAACACCAGUGGCGAAGGCGACUACCUGGACUGAUACUGACACUGAGGUGCGAAAGCGUGGGGAGCAAACAGGAUUAGAUACCCGAG